GUUUCCUGGUUGAGGGAAUCCUUUGUUGGGAGGUGUUCACUGGGCCUGAUCGUUUCCUGUGCGGAAUUCCCGUGUCUGGAAUGUCUGUUUUUUGAGUGUUGUUUUGUAUUUAGUGUCCUGAUUUUAGAGAUUCUAUUGUUCUGUUUUCUUAUUAGACCAUAGUAAUUAUUACAUAUGAUAUAAAGUAAUGUUAUGUAUUAAUUACUGUUUUUACAGAUUUAGCAUGCAAACGUUGCAACAUUUAGUUCAAAAACAUUGACUACUAAAUGGCAGACUGCCUUGGAUAAGUGAAGCUUGGCUAAGUGAGACUCUACUGUAUUGUCUGUUUGGAGGCCAAGUGUGAAUGUUGCCAUUGGCAAGCUUGAUUAGCACUGAAUGGCCUUGCAGCUUCAGUGCCUGGGUGCUUCUUGCCUGUGAAGCUGUUGAUUAUUAUUGUUGUAAUUGUGAUUGUUUUUAUUAUAAUUGAGGUGUAGAGGAGGAGAAACUGAAAGUAAUUGAGGGAGAACUCUUCCUACUUCCCCCUCCUCCUGGGCCCCGCCCCUCUGUACCUCUGUGGCACAGGUGUGCCUGUUUGACGGGGUGACGUGGGCAAGGCCCCUCCCUUCCUCCCACCUCGCUCUGUUUCCCAGACGACAAUGAGGAGGAGGAGGCUCCGGAGGAGGGUGGCCGGGGAGGAGGCCUGGCCUCCGGGCCCUCUCCUGGCUACGUCCUCCGGCCCCGGUCCUGGCCAGGCCUCACCGGAGGGUGGCGGUGGGGGGCUCCGUGCAGGCCUUGCUGGUCCCUCCUCCCUGGUGCCAUGUUGAGAGCCGCUGGGAAUGCAACACAAAGUCUAUCACAUCAGCUUCUGUGAUGCAACAUACCUACUCAAAGAGAUGACAUGCGGAAAAAGCUGGAAAAGAGAUUCCUCUGAUGUCUAUGAACAAAGACAGGGCAAUUCAAGGAGCCUUGCAGGAGAGUGCCAACAGACAAAGGCUCAUUUCUGCCUCAAAUGACCUUAUAGCUCACACUGUUCUGGUGGAAGAGAUUAAUAAAACCCAGAGGGGAGAGAAAAAAUCCAAGUAUUGAGAUUUUCAGAAUUCCUGCAUUAGGAGAUAUUAAAAGUGUUUAUUAAAAGUGGGUGCUUCUUUAUAUUGGUAAUAUCUAGAUUAAUCAAACAUACAUAUUUUUAUUUCUUUUUAAAAAGAAUAUCCAGUAGUAGAAAAUGGAAAGCCUAAAUGGCUAUUAGAGGUAAUUAAAGUGUAUGAGUAGAAAUAGUGGAUGGUGUGGUUUUCAGAGGCACUGGUGAACUCACCAGAGAUGUUUGCAACAGAGAUUGGGAUGAAUAUACCAAUGCAAGUUACAUUCAUUAAGUUUUUAUAUUUAAAAACGUCUGGCAUAUGAGAGCCACAUCAGCAAGCAGUAAAGCAAUGAGCAGCAAAGAACAGUAAGGUCAGGGAGAAGCACAGAGGAUGUCUGCAAUACACUGCCUUAUAUUGAAGUAGUGUGUAAAGGAGAUGGAUGUGGACAAGUAGAUUUGAGAGAGAUACAGCAAGAGGGAGAGGAAGGAAAAGUAGCAGAAGAAAGAGAUAGAUAUAUGGGGCUAGAAAGAACAAAAAAUAAAUGCAGAACAGUGAUCAUGGACCAGGUGUCUAAGGCAUGUUGAAUUGCUCCUAGCAAACAGGACAUCAAAAUGGUAUCUACAUAGACUUUACUGAAAAUAUGAGAAACGCAGAAAACUUUGAAAGAGUUGAAAAGAUCAUAAAAGAUGAACUGGAGAGAAAGAGGAAGAAGAUGGGGGUCUGAGUAAAAAAACAACAUGACCCAUAAAAUUAGGCAUUAUUGUAUAAUUUCCAACAUUUACAGCAAAUGUAUAUAUUUGGACAGAAAUAAAGAAUGCACACAAAUAACUUGGCAGUUUAAAAAAAGAAUUCUAUUUUUCCCUAUGGAACACUAAUAUAACAAAUGUCCCGUCCAGAAGGGGAAAAGGUCUAAGGAUCAAGAGUUUCCAGUUGUUUUUGUUUUGAUUUUACUUGCACAUUCCCAGAUUUGCAUCCAAAUUCUUUCUUGAAAUAACUUGGAUUUCCUUCUCUCCUGAUUCCCAAAAGUGACCAUAAAUGACUUACACACACAAAAUGGCAAUGUAUCACAUGUUAUGACUGGAUGCGCCAAAAAUGGCACUGUGACCUCAGUAUAUGCCUGUCUGCAUCUUAUUGGUUUCAGACAAGGUUUUUUUUUCUCUGUUGCCUGGAAUGCUAAAUAGAGAUGAAACUAGGAAUUUUUCAGGAAUUUUUGAUACCCAAAACAAGUAUUUAUUAUUUAUUAUUUAUUAACAGCAUUUAUAUUCCGCCCUUCUCACCCCGAAGGGGACUCAGGGCGGAUCACAUUACACAUAUAGGCAAACAUUCAAUGCCUUUUAACAUACAACAAAGACAAGACAAACAUAGCUCCGUGCGGGCCUCGAACUUAUGACCUCCUGGUCAGUGAUUCAUUGCAGUUAAUUGCAACUGGUUUGCUCUCCCGUCUGCGCCACAGCCCCGGUACUCUUGUCACAAGGAUUAGGUAACCAAGCAUAUACUCAAAAAUAUGAUGAUAAAAAGAUAAAAAGAGCACUGAAAGCUUCAAAUCUCAGAAAGUGUAUUCUAGUGUUCUAGUUGAGUGUUUCAACUUCCUACUGAGGUACUGGAUCAUGGGAUAGCAUGGGAUAGUCUGAGGUUUAGUCACCAGUAUCUCCAAGUAGGACUGGAAAUGGAUAAUGUCUGAAUGCCUGGAGAGCCAAGGCCAAUGAGUGUUAGAAAUACUUGGUUACCUGUAUCAAUGGUUUUAAAACUGCUUCCUAAGAUGCAGCUCAUAUUGAAUCCACAUUUUCUGCUGAGUAUAUUGAAUGUUUAUUAAUAACGAACACACUCAAAUGUUGAUUUAUACACUGUUAUUUGGCUGGAGAUGGGGAGGUAUGAAUCAGGGUCAAGACUUAAUUCUUUGGGACUUGGAGAAGACCUGUUCUAUAAAAUGAAAUUUCAUAAACUGGAGCCAGUGAUACUGUGAAACUGAAGUUUCUAGGCUUUAACGCCAUUGAGACAUCUCAAAAGGGUCUGAAAUAUAACACUUCACUAAUUGAAAAUAAAUAAACAUAUCCAUUAUAACGAGA